UACGUAGGGUGCAAGCGUUGUCCGGAAUUAUUGGGCGUAAAGAGCUCGUAGGCGGUCAGUCGCGUCUGCUGUGAAAACUCGGGGCUUAACUCCGGGCCUGCAGUGGGUACGGGCUGACCAGAGUGCGGUAGGGGAGACUGGAAUUCCUGGUGUAGCGGUGAAAUGCGCAGAUAUCAGGAGGAACACCGGUGGCGAAGGCGGGUCUCUGGGCCGUAACUGACGCUGAGGAGCGAAAGCGUGGGGAGCGAACAGG
rnacentral:rRNA from 1 species